GACGAACGCUGGCGGCGUGCUUAACACAUGCAAGUCGAACGGAAAGGCCCUGCUUUUGUGGGGUGCUCGAGUGGCGAACGGGUGAGUAACAAGGGAGUAACCUGCCCUUGACUUUGGGAUAACUUCAGGAAACUGGGGCUAAUACCGGAUAGGAGCUCCUGCUGCAUGGUGGGGGUUGGAAAGUUUCGGCGGUUGGGGAUGGACUCGCGGCUUAUCAGCUUGUUGGUGGGGUAGUGGCUUACCAAGGCUUUGACGGGUAGCCGGCCUGAGAGGGUGACCGGCCACAUUGGGACUGAGGUACGGCCCAGACUCCUACGGGAGGCAGCAGUGGGGAAUAUUGCACAAUGGGCGGAAGCCUGAUGCAGCAACGCCGCGUGCGGGAUGACGGCCUUCGGGUUGUAAACCGCUUUCGCCUGUGACGAAGCGUGAGUGACGGUAAUGGGUAAAGAAGCACCGGCUAACUACGUG
rnacentral:rRNA from 1 species